ensembl:lncRNA
GGAGGCGGAGCAAGAUUUCAGGCUGGAAGGAGGAGACUCACGUGAGACUGCGUUUGCAAAGUGCACUGGAAUUCAAAUCAGGUGUAGAGUUGGGGUAUUACGAUUUAUGGGAUUAAAGAGAUUUCGUAAUCCUCAAUCUGUGAAAGUCUGAGCUAGACUUACAAACACUGAGACCUGUGCCUGGGCGAAUACAUUCAGUUAAAGCUAAUUCUAGUUAAGUUCACUUAAUACUGUGCAGCCGUUUCCCGCUAUAAAGGAGAUUUAAAUGUGGAUGCGCAAAGAAUUCCUAAAUACAGUAUGUGAAAAAACCAAGGUGGUGCUGGUAUAAAGAACCCACCUGCCAAAGCAGGAGACAUAGAACCAAGCAUUCAGUCCCGGAUUGGGAAGAUCCCCUGGAGGAGGACGUGGCUACUUCAGUAUUCUUACCUGGAGAAUCCCAUGGACAGAGGAGCCUGGAGGGCUACAGUGCAUGGGGUUGCAAAGAGUCAGACAUGACUGAAGAACACAGCAUGGGUGCACAGAGUUGAUUUACAAUGUUGGGUUAGUUUCUGCUGUACAGCAGAGUAUGUGUGUGUGUAUGUGUGUGUGUAUGUAAUAUAAAUUUUUUUCACAUUCUUUUCCAUUAUAGGUUAUUGCAAAAUAUUGAAUAUAGUUCCUUGUGUUAUACAAUGGUGGUAUAAUCGUUAAGUCAUAUCCAGCUCUUGCAACCCCAUGAACUGUAGCCCACCAGACUCUCUGACCAUGAGAUUUACCAAGCAAGAAUACUGAAGUGGGUUGCCAUUUCCUUCUCUGGGGUGCUAUACAGUAGGACCUUGUUGUUUAUCUAUUUUGCAUAUAGCAGUAUGCACCUGUUAGUCCCAAGAUACUAAUUUAUUCUUCCCCCUUUCCCCUUUGAUAACAUGGAUUUUAUCAUGUUUUCUAUGUCUGCAAGUCUGUUUCUGUUUUAUAAAUAAGUUAGUUUGUAUCCUUUCUUAGUCUCCAUAUAUGAGUGAUAUUAUAUGAUAUUUGUCUUUCUCUGGCCGAUCUGCUUCACUUAGUAUGAUCUUCUCUAGGUCCAUCCAUGUUGCUGCAAAUGGCAUUAUUUCAAUGUCUCGAAUGGCUGAGUAAUAGUCCAUUGUAUAAAUAGAGCACGUCUUUCUCCAUUCAUCUGUUGAUGGACAUUUAGGUUGCUUCUAUGUUUUGUCUAUUGCACAUAGUGCUGCUGUGAAUGUUGGAAUACAUGCAUCUUUUCAAAUUAGAGUUUUCGUCUUUUCUAGAUAUAUGUCCAGGAGUGGGAUUGUUGGAUCAUACAAAAAUAAACUCACAAUGACUGAAAAUAUAAGACAUGAAACUGUAAAACUUGUAGAAGAGAAUAUAGGCAAAAAUGCUCUGACAUAAAUCAUAGCAAUGUUUUCUUAGAUUAGUC